rnacentral:rRNA from 1 species
AUUGAACGCUGGCGGCAUGCCUUACACAUGCAAGUCGAACGGCAGCACGGGUGCUUGCACCUGGUGGCGAGUGGCGAACGGGUGAGUAAUACAUCGGAACAUGUCCUGUAGUGGGGGAUAGCCCGGCGAAAGCCGGAUUAAUACCGCAUACGAUCUACGGAUGAAAGCGGGGGACCUUCGGGCCUCGCGCUAUAGGGUUGGCCGAUGCUGAUUAGCUAGUUGGUGGGGUAAAGGCCUACCAAGGCGACGAUCAGUAGCUGGUCUGAGAGGACGACCAGCCACACUGGGACUGAGACACGGCCCAGACUCCUACGGGAGGCAGCAGUGGGGAAUUUUGGACAAAGGGCGAAAGCCUGAUCCAGCAAUGCCGCGUGUGUGAAGAAGGCCUUCGGGUUGUAAAGCACUUUUGUCCGGAAAGAAAUCCUUGGCCCUAAUACGGUCGGGGGAUGACGGUACCGGAAGAAUAAGCACCGGCUAACUACGUG